rnacentral:rRNA from 1 species
UGGGGAAUAUUGCACAAUGGGGGAAACCCUGAUGCAGCGACGCCGCGUGAGCGAAGAAGGCUUUCGAGUCGUAAAGCUCUGUCCUAUGAGAAGAUAAUGACGGUAUCAUAGGAGGAAGCCCUGGCUAAAUACGUGCCAGCAGCCGCGGUAAUACGUAUGGGGCGAGCGUUGUCCGGAAUUAUUGGGCGUAAAGGGUACGUAGGCGGUUUUUUAAGUCAGGUGUCAAAGCGUGGAGCUUAACUCCAUUAAGCACUUGAAACUGAAAGACUUGAGUGCAGGAGAGAAAAGUGGAAUUCCUAGUGUAGCGAUGAAAUGCGUAGAGAUUAGGAGGAACACCGGUGGCGAAAGCGGCUUUUUGGCCUGCAACUGACACUGAGGCGCGAAAGCGUGGGGAGCAAACAGG